rnacentral:rRNA from 1 species
UACAGAGGGUGCUAGCGUUGUUCGGAAUUAUUGGGCGUAAAGGGCGCGUAGGCGGCCCUGUGUGUCGGGUGUGAAAGCCCACCUCUUAAAGGUGGAAUUGCAUUCGAAACUGCCGAGCUGGAGUGCCGGAGGGGAGAGUGGAAUUCCUGGUGUAGCGGUGAAAUGCGUAGAUAUCAGGAGGAAUACCGGUGGCGAAAGCGACUCUCUGGACGGCAACUGACGCUGAGGCACGAAAGCGUGGGGAGCAAACAGG